rnacentral:rRNA from 1 species
GACGAACGCUGGCGGCGUGCUUAACACAUGCAAGUCGAGCGGUAAGGCCCUUUCGGGGGUACACGAGCGGCGAACGGGUGAGUAACACGUGGGUGACCUGCCCUCAGCUCUGGGAUAAGCCUGGGAAACCGGGUCUAAUACUGGAUAUGACUCCAUGACGCAUGUUGUGGGGUGGAAAGCCUUGUGCGGCUGAGGAUGGGCCCGUGGCCUAUCAGCUUGUUGGUGGGGUGAGGCCUACCAAGGCGACGACGGGUAGCCGGCCUGAGAGGGCGACCGGCCACACUGGGACUGAGACACGGCCCAGACUCCUACGGGAGGCAGCAGUGGGGAAUCUUGCGCAAUGGGCGAAAGCCUGACGCAGCGACGCCGCGUGAGGGAU